AAAAAAUUCCCACAUUCAUCACACACAAAAGAGAAGCGGGACCCACAGGGAAACAAUACACAUUCUCUAGAAAAAUUUCCACUCACUCAUAGAAAUCUCACCGUCACUCUCAAAUUCACGCACAUACUCACAUAUACCGGAAAGGGGUCUCCAUUUUCUUAUCUUCCAAAGAAAACUCACAGAAAAAGCACAUACACACACAAUAGACAAAAAAGGACUCACUGGAACGGAGACCAUAAAUACUACUUCAUACACGCACAAUAAUUCUCUCACAUACACUAAAAGGGACUGAAACAAAGAGUGAAUUGAGGAGAGGGGAAGGGAGAGAUCGAGAUCAGGGGUCAGCGAGAGAAAAAUCGAGAAGAGGAGGAACUUCUCCGACGAAUUUUCACUUGAGAGCUGCUGAAAUCGCCAUUGAAAACAACCUAUCCAGCGGCGCAAACCCACCGGAAAACCAGUUCCGACCCCCUAAGCUUUCAAAACCAGCGACCAAUGGCCUCAAAACUGACCAAAUUCGCAUAUUUAGGUGAGGCCCAGCUCAGUUUUUGGUGAACAGCCGGUGAGCUUUCGUUGAAAAUCCCAUCGGCUCGUCGACCAUCAUCCACCCAUUGGAAAGCGACCAUAAUCCGAUUCAACUUCACUGUUCUGGCAGGAAUUUUGUCUUUCUCUCAUGAGUUUUGGUUUAGUUAGUGAGAAACAGAAUCGGGUGUAGCGACUUCGACAAUAUCGAUUUGGGACUUUGAUUUGAGGUUUGAGUCGAGGUUCUCGGCGUGGAUUUUGUCUCGUUUAAUUGAGUAAUGUUUGAAUGAAAGCGGCAUUGAGCCUGAUCUUAAAAUCCAGCGUAAGCAAGGACAUUGAUUCAAAGGACUAAAGCUAGAAGAAAAAAACAUCUGAGAAAUCGGUAGAGUGGUGAGACAUUUAGUGACCACGUUGAGGCCUUCUUUCAAAAUUAAGGCAAUUAUUUUGAGAAUCACAAGAAUAACUUGGUCAUCAAUUAGAAAGUAUAGCUCAAGUAGGUCAAAUAGUGGACGCGUGAUCCUCAUAUCCAGAGAAACAGGAAGAUAAUCAGCUUCACAAAGUCAGGAGUCCUUCAGCAUGAGGGAUGUAUAACAAAAGUGGAGUGGUAUGUUAACAAAGUGCAAGAGUAGUGAUGCACAAAUUCAAUUAAAGUUAGUGCUAUAAAGAUGUCACAAAUGAUCUUUAUCUUUCACUUCAUAUUGCAUGAUAUGUACUUACAUUUUCAAGGAUUGAUAUGAUGAAGACAUUUCAUUUUUCUAUCUAAA